rnacentral:misc_RNA from 1 species
AGUAAAAGACAGUGCUAAAACUACUGAAAUAUAAUUUGCACUGUUUCUUGCACAAUAAAUGAUAAUUAUUCUAAAUUUUCAAGCAUCAAUUCCAUCUAUCAUCAAUCUAAAAACAAGGAUGAUAAACAGCUCUUGGCCCCAUAUGCCUAUGCAUUUAAUAAGAUCAAUUGGUUCAAUAAGACGUAAGAAUGAUCCUGAGCAUUUAACAACACCACUGUGUUUCCAAAACAUAAACAUGCUCCUCAAGUAUUUAAGGAAACCAUUAUGCUCAUAAAACACAAAGAUACCCCUAAUAUUUUAACAAGACCACAAAUUUAUAAAACACAGCUACUGCAUGGUUGUUUAUAAUUGCCUUUCCAAAUAGAAAAGCUACAGCAAAUGGGUUUUUGGUCUUGACAUCUAACCACCAGCAUGUGAUAUCAUCACUGGCUAGUCUUGGUUAAUCUACCAAGGAAUAAAUGCUCUCCGGAUUAGCAGUAUGAAGGUCUGGCAGAUCAGCACUUUCAGAGAACUUCAUCCACCUCUUUCUCUCGACAAACUUGAGACAGGGCCGCAGUACAAGGCCAAUAGCCACAGCAAUGAGGCUUACAACCAUUACUUUGAAUGUUGAAAGCGCUAACACAACAAAAAUCAAUAUGGUUGGAGGAAUACACAUAAGAAUGGCUCCAAUUGUUCCCACAGGUAUCUUGUAAGGCCGAGGUGCAUCUGGGUAUUCUAUCCUUAGCUGUACAAACGCUAUAAACUCCAAUAUCAUUCCAAAACAGUACAAGAAAUUCUCUGCUGCUACAAUCUCUUGGAAGCUGAGCCAUGAUAACAAAAUAACACCAGAAGCUGAAAACAAAAUCCCAAUAAGAGGUGUUCCAUAACAGGAUCUCUUAGCAAAGAACUCAGGCAGCAUUCCUCGUUCUGCCAUACCCAAAAGCUGAAAAGAGUCACUGCUCAUCUCAGCUACAAACAUUCCCAUAUUUGACAUAGCUGCAGCUCCUUGGAUCCACCAUCUUAACCAAACUCCUCCAAGCAUUUGAGCAAUAUCAGAGAAAUAUCCAUCAGUCCACAAAUCCCAAUUGAGUGGGACAGCCCCAGUGCCAAUCAAAAGUGGGAAGAAAUAACCAAGAACAACCAAUAUCAAAGCAUAAAAAAGAGCUUUAGGUAGAGUUUUCUUUGGGUUAUCCACCUCUCCAGCAAGCGUACUAAUUGAGUCCCAGUAAUUUAAAUUCCAAAAGAGGGUGUUCAAAUACAAAUUCCAGUCAACAUCACGCAAAUUCACCAUAAACCAUCUUGAAGGAUCCAACUUUGGCAUUGCCACCAAUCCCAUAACCACAAAAGGAAGAAUGGAAAAGAUCCCUAAAAGAACUGCAGCCCAACCCACGAUAGUCAAGCCUCUAUAGUUCAUGUAAGUGAGCACAAACGUCAAGACUAGAGCUGCUGCAGCUCUUGGGAUGCCACCGCCUAAAGCUGGAAUUCCAGACUUCAAAUAAUCAAGAAAAAGAACUGGGUAGAGAGCAUUAUCAAUCACCCCGCUUAGCCAUUUCAUCCAUCCUUGCUGGAAUCCCCAGUAGGGGCCCAACGCAGACGAAACCCAUACAACAUAACCUCCAUUUUCAGGGAACAUGGUGCCCAUCUCAGCUGUAAUCAAUGCCUCAGGGAUACUCCAUAUUAUGGGAAAGACCAAGAAACCAAGAAGGGCCAAUAGCGGACCAGCUGCUUGGACACUGUCCUCAACCCCAAACGGACCUCCGGAAACCUCAUAGAAGAUGAGGAAGACAAGGGGUAAAACUGAUACUUUCUUAAAGUCAUGUAACCUAGGAGAAGGCACUUCAUUGAUAUCCACAUAAUUAGCACCAUUGUAAUCUCCCAUCGAAAUAUGAGGUUGCCUACAAGCUAAGUUCCUCAAUUUCUGCAUUCAAUAUCAAGUUUUAUUUAACUCAAUUAAAAAUUCAAGUAAUUAACAGAAGUAAAUCAAGAUCAAGCAUAAUCUUCAAAACCAUUCAGAGAUGUAAUGAUGAAAAUUAUAAACGGAAUAAGCUACUGCUCAACAAAUUAGGAAAUGGGUCUCUCAUAUUGCAUGAAACAAGCAAACAAAGAUGAUAAAGAAAUCCAAAACAUCCCACUUAACGCACAGCAACCAUGGACAGAUUCACAACCCAAAUUGAUAAAUCGAAUAAAGAAACUGAAACCAAGUGAGAAACCAUACCAUGAAAACGAAAACACCCACAUCGCUGCGUGAGAUUAUCCGGAGGUUGAGAGCUGAGCAAAAUCUGGGAUAUCCUUUCAAAUUUCCAAUAGGGGCGUGCUGCGUGGGUUGCAGGACUUGAAAGAUAGAGAGAAGGAUUCU